UUAGUGGCGGACGGGUGAGUAACGCGUGGAAAACCUGCCGUAUACUGGGGGAUAACACUUAGAAAUAGGUGCUAAUACCGCAUAAGCGCACAGCUUCGCAUGAAGCGGUGUGAAAAACUCUGGUGGUGUAAGAUGGACCCGCGUCUGAUUAGCUUGUUGGCGGGGUAGGGGCCCACCAAGGCGACGAUCAGUAGCCGGCCUGAGAGGGUGGACGGCCACAUUGGGACUGAGACACGGCCCAAACUCCUACGGGAGGCAGCAG
rnacentral:rRNA from 1 species